rnacentral:rRNA from 1 species
GUGUCAGCCGCCGCGGUAAUACGUAGGGGGCGAGCGUUGUCCGGAAUCAUUGGGCGUAAAGCGCGUGUAGGCGGCGCGGUAAGUCCGGUGUGAAACCUUGGGGCUCAACCCCAAGCCUGCACCGGAUACUGCCGCGCUCGAGUCCGGGAGAGGGAAGCGGAAUUCCUAGUGUAGCGGUGAAAUGCGCAGAUAUUAGGAAGAACACCGGUGGCGAAGGCGGCUUCCUGGAACGGUACUGACGCUGAGACGCGAAAGCGUGGGGAGCGAACAGGAUUAGAUACCCUGGUAGUCCACGCCGUAAACGAUGGGCACUAGAUGUGGGCGGUGUCGACUCCGUCCGUGUCGUAGCUAACGCAUUAAGUGCCCCGCCUGGGGAGUACGGCCGCAAGGCUAAA